UACGGGGGGAGCAAGCGUUGUUCGGAUUUACUGGGCGUAAAGGGCGCGUAGGCGGCGUGACAAGUCACUUGUGAAAUCUCCGGGCUUAACUCGGAACGGUCAAGUGAUACUGUCGUGCUAGAGUACAGAAGGGGCAACUGGAAUUCUCGGUGUAGCGGUGAAAUGCGCAGAUAUCGGGAAGAACACCCGUGGCGAAGGCGGCUCUCUGGGACGGUACUGACGCUGAGACGCGAAAGCGUGGGGAGCGAACAGG
rnacentral:rRNA from 1 species